rnacentral:rRNA from 1 species
GACGAACGCUGGCGGUGUGCUUAACACAUGCAAGUCGAACGGUAAGGCCCUUUCGGGGGUACACGAGUGGCGAACGGGUGAGUAACACGUGAGUAACCUGCCCUCAUCUCUGGGAUAACAGCCGGAAACGGUUGCUAAUACUGGAUAUGAGCUUGCAAGGCAUCUUGUGGGUUGGAAAGAUUUUUUUUGGUUGGGGAUGGACUCGCGGCCUAUCAGCUUGUUGGUGAGGUAGUGGCUCACCAAGGCUUCGACGGGUAGCCGGCCUGAGAGGGCGACCGGCCACAUUGGGACUGAGAUACGGCCCAAACUCCUACGGGAGGCAGCAGUGGGGAAUAUUGCACAAUGGACGGAAGUCUGAUGCAGCAACGCCGCGUGCGGGAUGACGGCCUUCGGGUUGUAAACCGCUUUCAAUUGUGACGAAGCUUUUUUGUGACGGUAGCAGUAGAAGAAGCACCGGCUAACUACGUG